rnacentral:rRNA from 1 species
AUGCCCUGGCAGUCAGAGGCGAUGAAGGACGUGCUAAUCUGCGAUAAGCGUCGGUAAGGUGAUAUGAACCGUUAUAACCGGCGAUUUCCGAAUGGGGAAACCCAGUGUGAUUCGUCACACUAUCAUUAACUGAAUCCAUAGGUUAAUGAGGCGAACCGGGGGAACUGAAACAUCUAAGUACCCCGAGGAAAAGAAAUCAACCGAGAUUCCCCCAGUAGCGGCGAGCGAACGGGGAGGAGCCCAGAGCCUGAAUCAGUGUGUGUGUUAGUGGAAGCGUCUGGAAAGGCGCGCGAUACAGGGUGACAGCCCCGUACACAAAAAUGCACAUGCUGUGAGCUCGAUGAGUAGGGCGGGACACGUGGUAUCCUGUCUGAAUAUGGGGGGACCAUCCUCCAAGGCUAAAUACUCCUGACUGACCGAUAGUGAACCAGUACCGUGAGGGAAAGGCGAAAAGAACCCCGGCGAGGGGAGUGAAAAAGAACCUGAAACCGUGUACGUACAAGCAGUGGGAGCCUCUUUAUGGGGUGACUGCGUACCUUUUGUAUAAUGGGUCAGCGACUUAUAUUCUGUAGCAAGGUUAACCGAAUAGGGGAGCCGAAGGGAAACCGAGUCUUAACUGGGCGUUAAGUUGCAGGGUAUAGACCCGAAACCCGGUGAUCUAGCCAUGGGCAGGUUGAAGGUUGGGUAACACUAACUGGAGGACCGAACCGACUAAUGUUGAAAAAUUAGCGGAUGACUUGUGGCUGGGGGUGAAAGGCCAAUCAAACCGGGAGAUAGCUGGUUCUCCCCGAAAGCUAUUUAGGUAGCGCCUCGUGAAUUCAUCUCCGGGGGUAGAGCACUGUUUCGGCAAGGGGGUCAUCCCGACUUACCAACCCGAUGCAAACUGCGAAUACCGGAGAAUGUUAUCACGGGAGACACACGGCGGGUGCUAACGUCCGUCGUGAAGAGGGAAACAACCCAGACCGCCAGCUAAGGUCCCAAAGUCAUGGUUAAGUGGGAAACGAUGUGGGAAGGCCCAGACAGCCAGGAUGUUGGCUUAGAAGCAGCCAUCAUUUAAAGAAAGCGUAAUAGCUCACUGGUCGAGUCGGCCUGCGCGGAAGAUGUAACGGGGCUAAACCAUGCACCGAAGCUGCGGCAGCGACACUAUGUGUUGUUGGGUAGGGGAGCGUUCUGUAAGCCUGUGAAGGUGUGCUGUGAGGCAUGCUGGAGGUAUCAGAAGUGCGAAUGCUGACAUAAGUAACGAUAAAGCGGGUGAAAAGCCCGCUCGCCGGAAGACCAAGGGUUCCUGUCCAACGUUAAUCGGGGCAGGGUGAGUCGACCCCUAAGGCGAGGCCGAAAGGCGUAGUCGAUGGGAAACAGGUUAAUAUUCCUGUACUUGGUGUUACUGCGAAGGGGGGACGGAGAAGGCUAUGUUGGCCGGGCGACGGUUGUCCCGGUUUAAGCGUGUAGGCUGGUUUUCCAGGCAAAUCCGGAAAAUCAAGGCUGAGGCGUGAUGACGAGGCACUACGGUGCUGAAGCAACAAAUGCCCUGCUUCCAGGAAAAGCCUCUAAGCAUCAGGUAACAUCAAAUCGUACCCCAAACCGACACAGGUGGUCAGGUAGAGAAUACCAAGGCGCUUGAGAGAACUCGGGUGAAGGAACUAGGCAAAAUGGUGCCGUAACUUCGGGAGAAGGCACGCUGAUAUGUAGGUGAAGUCCCUCGCGGAUGGAGCUGAAAUCAGUCGAAGAUACCAGCUGGCUGCAACUGUUUAUUAAAAACACAGCACUGUGCAAACACGAAAGUGGACGUAUACGGUGUGACGCCUGCCCGGUGCCGGAAGGUUAAUUGAUGGGGUCAGCGCAAGCGAAGCUCUUGAUCGAAGCCCCGGUAAACGGCGGCCGUAACUAUAACGGUCCUAAGGUAGCGAAAUUCCUUGUCGGGUAAGUUCCGACCUGCACGAAUGGCGUAAUGAUGGCCAGGCUGUCUCCACCCGAGACUCAGUGAAAUUGAACUCGCUGUGAAGAUGCAGUGUACCCGCGGCAAGACGGAAAGACCCCGUGAACCUUUACUAUAGCUUGACACUGAACAUUGAGCCUUGAUGUGUAGGAUAGGUGGGAGGCUUUGAAGUGUGGACGCCAGUCUGCAUGGAGCCGACCUUGAAAUACCACCCUUUAAUGUUUGAUGUUCUAACGUUGACCCGUAAUCCGGGUUGCGGACAGUGUCUGGUGGGUAGUUUGACUGGGGCGGUCUCCUCCUAAAGAGUAACGGAGGAGCACGAAGGUUGGCUAAUCCUGGUCGGACAUCAGGAGGUUAGUGCAAUGGCAUAAGCCAGCUUGACUGCGAGCGUGACGGCGCGAGCAGGUGCGAAAGCAGGUCAUAGUGAUCCGGUGGUUCUGAAUGGAAGGGCCAUCGCUCAACGGAUAAAAGGUACUCCGGGGAUAACAGGCUGAUACCGCCCAAGAGUUCAUAUCGACGGCGGUGUUUGGCACCUCGAUGUCGGCUCAUCACAUCCUGGGGCUGAAGUAGGUCCCAAGGGUAUGGCUGUUCGCCAUUUAAAGUGGUACGCGAGCUGGGUUUAGAACGUCGUGAGACAGUUCGGUCCCUAUCUGCCGUGGGCGCUGGAGAACUGAGGGGGGCUGCUCCUAGUACGAGAGGACCGGAGUGGACGCAUCACUGGUGUUCGGGUUGUCAUGCCAAUGGCACUGCCCGGUAGCUAAAUGCGGAAGAGAUAAGUGCUGAAAGCAUCUAAGCACGAAACUUGCC